rnacentral:rRNA from 1 species
UACGAAGGGUGCAAGCGUUACUCGGAAUUACUGGGCGUAAAGGGUGCGUAGGUGGUCGUUUAAGUCCGUUGUGAAAUCCCUUGGCUCAACCAAGGAAUGGCUUCGGAUACUGGCGUGCUUGAGGCUAGUAUGGGUCACUGGAACUGACGGUGGAGCGGUGAAAUGCGUAGAUAUCGUCAGGAACGCCAAUGGUGAAGACAGGUGACUGGGCUAGUUCUGACACUGAGGCACGAAAGCGUGGGGAGCGAACGGG